AUGCCAGGCUUCGCGACAGGCGGCGGUGGUGACGGCGGCCGCGGCACAGACACCCACCCUCCCACACGCGCGCACCCGGGCAGAGCCGGCGGGCGGGCGGCAGCGGCAUCUUCGGAGCCCGGCGCCGGGCGCCGAGGGGGCGUGCGGCCGGGAAGCGGCCGGGAGGCGCAGGAUGGAGGAGGAGAUGCAGCCGGCAGAGGAGGGGCCCAGCGUCCCCAAAAUCUACAAGCAGCGCGGCCCCUACAGCGUCCUCAAGACGUUCCCCGGCAAGAGGCCCGCGCUGGCCAAGCGCUACGAGCGACCCACCCUGGUGGAGCUGCCGCACGUGCGGCCGCCCCCGCCGCCCUUCGCCCCGCACGCCGCGGUCUCCAUCAGCAGCAGCGAGCCGCCGCCGCCGCAGCAGUUCCAGGCGCAGGGAUCUUUCCCCCCUGGGCCCGGCCGGGCCAACGCCGCCGCGUCGUCGUCGUCUCCGUCCGGCACGCCCGCCGCGUCCCAGGGCCACCUGAGGACUACGGCGCCGCCGCCCGCGGCCCCCGCCGCGUCAUCAUCCUCCUCUUUCGCCGCCGUCGUCAGGUACGGGUCGAGCCCGGCGGCCGCCGCGGGCAGCAGCAGCACGGGCGGCGACGGCGCCAGUCUGGAGCUCAGCGCAGGUACCAACUCUUGGGCGCAACUUUCCGUCCCGCCACGUCCGGGGGGAGGGGUGGGGCCCCGGGAAGGAGAAGCCCAGGGACCGCGGAGAGCCUGCGGCGCGCUGGGCCCAGCGGGAGGGCCGCGAGGGGAGAGCGGGUGUGGGCAGGGGGCGCGCACACGGCUGAGGGAGGAUUCGGACGUCCGAGCGCACCCCGGAGGCCUCCACGCGCGGCGGCAACUUCUGGCGCUUCCCGGCCGCCCCCGCCGCCGCGUCCCGGGCUUCCGACGGCGCGCGCGCGCCUCCUAACAGAGAGUCGUAUGAUCUUGGACGCUUUUGCUCAACAAUGCAGCCGAGUCCUUAGCCUCUUAAAUUGUGGAGGCAAACUUCUAGACUCCAACCAUUCUCAAUCCAUGAUAUCUUGUGUGAAGCAGGAAGGCUCAAGUUACACUGAAAGACAGGAACCAUGUCCUGUUGGCAAAGGAGUCCACAGUCAGACCUCAGACAGUUUAGACAUUGAAAUGCAAUAUAUGCAAAGGAAACAACAAACUUCUGCAUUUUUGAGAGUUUUCACCGACUCCCUGCAAAAUUACCUGCUCUCAGGGAGCUUUCCAACUCCAAACACCUCCUCGGUCAGCGAGUAUGGCCACCUGGCGGAUGUGGAUCCUCUAUCAGCAUCCCCCGUGCACACACUAGGUGGCUGGACCUCCCCAGCAACAUCUGAAUCCCAUGGUCACCCAUCAUCAUCUACGCUGCCUGAGGAGGAAGAGGAGGAGGAAGAGGAAGGCUACUGUCCCCGAUGCCAAGAGCUGGAGCAGGAGGUGAUUUCGCUGCAACAAGAAAACGAAGAACUCAGAAGAAAGUUAGAGAGCAUCCCAGUGCCCUGCCAGACCGUCUUAGAUUACCUGAAGAUGGUGCUCCAGCAUCACAACCAGCUCAUGAUCCCACAGCCAGCUGAGCAGCCGACCGAGGGAAGCAAGCAGCUGUUGAACAACUAUCCUGUCUACAUAACGAGCAAACAGUGGGAUGAGGCUGUAAAUUCUUCAAAGAAAGAUGGGAGGCGGCUCCUUCGAUACCUCAUCAGAUUUGUUUUCACUACCGAUGAGCUUAAGUACUCAUGCGGCCUUGGAAAAAGGAAAAGGUCAGUGCAGUCAGGAGAGACAGGUCCUGAGAGGCGCCCUCUGGAUCCAGUUAAAGUAACAUGCCUCCGAGGUACUGCAUCCUUCCGCUCAGUGUCCAUCUGUGAUCUCAUUUCACCGCAUUGGCUGUGGCUCCCCGUGCAAGUGUUCAGCCGUGACUGUAUUUUGGUUUUUUUUCCGCUGAGACUUUAUAGGCUUCAUGUAGCCCAUCUCUUCGGUAUCGAGAAGUUCUUUAAAAAUUCUUUGUUUGCUUUAGCACUUAGUGGCACAUAA
rnacentral:lncRNA from 1 species